rnacentral:pre_miRNA from 8 species
UGGCUUUUUAUUCCUAUGUGAUUAUACAUCCCACUUCAUAUAGGGAUUGAAGCCGUGCAAUACGCCGGGGUCC